rnacentral:rRNA from 1 species
CGGACGGGUGAGUAAUGUCUGGGAAACUGCCCGAUGGAGGGGGAUAACUACUGGAAACGGUAGCUAAUACCGCAUAACGUCGCAAGACCAAAGAGGGGGACCUUAGGGCCUCUUGCCAUCGGAUGUGCCCAGAUGGGAUUAGCUAGUAGGUGGGGUAAUGGCUCACCUAGGCGACGAUCCCUAGCUGGUCUGAGAGGAUGACCAGCCACACUGGAACUGAGACACGAUCCAG